rnacentral:rRNA from 1 species
UACGUAGGGUGCAAGCGUUAAUCGGAAUUACUGGGCGUAAAGCGUGCGCAGGCGGUUUUGUAAGUCUGUCGUGAAAUCCCCGGGCUUAACCUGGGAACUGCAUUUGUGACUGCAUGGCUAGAGUGCGGCAGAGGGGGAUGGAAUUCCGCGUGUAGCAGUGAAAUGCGUAGAUAUGCGGAGGAACACCGAUGGCGAAGGCAAUCCCCUGGGCCUGCACUGACGCUCAUGCACGAAAGCCAGGGGAGCAAACGGG